AUACAGAGGGUGCGAGCGUUAAUCGGAAUUACUGGGCGUAAAGCGCGCGUAGGCGGCUACUUAAGUCAGAUGUGAAAUCCCCGGGCUCAACCUGGGAACUGCAUCUGAUACUGGGUAGCUAGAGUUUAGGAGAGGGAAGUAGAAUUUCAGGUGUAGCGGUGAAAUGCAUAGAGAUCUGAAGGACUCCCAGUGGCGAAGGCGGCUUCCUGGCCUAAAACUGACGCUGAGGUGCGAAAGCGUGGGUAGCAAACGGGAUUAGAAACCCCGGUAGUCC
rnacentral:rRNA from 1 species